UCCUACUUUUUGCAUUUUUUAUCAUUUUAUUUAUUUAGAACCUUUGUUCUCGUACUAACGUUGGAGUUGGCCUCAGAGCAUGAUUCAUGGGAGAGAUCCAUUUGGGCUUCUUAAAGACGUCUCUUAUAAGACAGGUGUUCCCCUUCCGCAACUUCUCUCCUUCUUCAGCGAUGGCGAUGUUGCUCUCUUGGGUUUGAAGGCGGAGCUUGGCUCUCUCGAUUGGGGCCACGAUCGUGUGGACGACGCCUCCCAUCACCGCUCCGGCGAGUAGGUCUCUGUGGAAAUGUUUGAGGGUCUGUGGAAGAGAUGAUUGGUUCCUUCUGUUUCUUCGAUCUUCUUCGUCGCCGCCAUUGGCGAGCAUAAAGAUUGAAACUUUGGUGGAAUUUCGAAGUGGGUCGGUUUCUAUUUUGAUCUUUGUGUCUCAUGUUUUCUUCUUACUCUUCUUCUUCUUCAAAUCUCGCGUGUCUGUCUCGUCUCAAUCACAAAUCAUCCUCGAGACUACAGACCAAGCUUCUCCGUUCCGACCAAAACCAUGAACACUUGUAAAGCCAAACCAUGGAAGAAUCUCGGUCUUGUCAUCAACUCUAGAAGGCAAGAACAAUGUGUGUUUAUGUAUCCAUAUAGUGGAAAGUUGGAGAUUUGGUCAUUCUCAUUAACGUAUGGGAUGCUUUUGAAGCAUAUGAGUUUUGAUUAUGUCAAGCUUCGGGUUGUGUGUGUUGCGAUUGAUACAUAGCUUUUCUUUGGGAGCAGCAUUCAGUUCUCCGACGUUUCCCAUGAUCAGUUCUCCGAUGUCUCCGACAUAACCAUGUCAUUGCCAAGUUAGCUACUGAUCAGAGUGGAUUACAACGUUGUAAGAUAUCUCUAGUUGAUGCCAUGGGAACAAGAUUUACAAAGGAUGUGAAAAUUGUGGGUCUUGAUCCAGACAAUGAUCUUGCUGUUCUGAAGUGAUCUAUGCGUAGGCCAGAGUUGCUUAACUUGCUUGUUGAGCUUGAAGCUCUGGAGAAUCAUCUCAAGGCUCAUGACGGUCACUACAAAAGUUGGUCUGUCCUCGAGAGCUUGCCUCAUGUUCAUGGCUACAUGAACGCUUUGUUCUGUCUUGACUCCUUUGAGAAAACAAAGACCGAGGAGAGGUAUGUGAUCGCAGGAUGGGCUCACAAGGUUAACCCCUAUAACUACUACUAGUUCCAUCUGUUGUGUGUGAUGAUGAUGUGGUUCAAUGUCUAUCUUCUCUAUCAGUAGAAUAAUGUUGCUGGACCUGUUAUGUUUGUUAUUGUAUCUGCCCCAAGUGAAAAGAAAGACUUUUAGUCAUA